CUGGCUCUGGAGACAGUAAGAGGGAUAUCUGAUAGACCACAGCGUUUAUGUGAAGGGGACAAUGACCCAACACACCUCCAAGCGGUGUAAGGGCUAUUUGACCAAGAAGGAGAGUGAUGAAGUGCUUCAUCAGAUGACCUGGCCUCCACAAUCACCUGACCUCAAUCCAUUUGAGAUGGUUUGGGAUGAGUUGGACCACAGAGUGAAGGAAAAGCAGCCAACUAGUGCUCAGCAUAUGUGGGAACUACUUCAAGUCUGUUGGAAAAGCAUUCCAGGUGAAGCUGGUUGAGAGAAUGCCAAGCGUUAUUUUUUUGAGCAGUGUAUUUUUGAUAUAACACUUUUUUGGUUACUCCAUGAUUCCAUAUGUGUUAUUUCAUAGUUUUGAUGUCAUCACUAUUAAUGUACCAUGUCGAAAAUAGUAAAAAAUAAAGAAAACCCUUGAAUGAGUA